rnacentral:rRNA from 1 species
GAGUUUGAUCCUGGCUCAGAUUGAACGCUGGCGGCAUGCCUUACACAUGCAAGUCGAACGGCAGCACGGGAGCAAUCCUGGUGGCGAGUGGCGAACGGGUGAGUAAUACAUCGGAACGUAUCCUGUAGUGGGGGAUAGCCCGGCGAAAGCCGGAUUAAUACCGCAUACGAUCUACGGAAGAAAGCGGGGGAUCCUUCGGGACCUCGCGCUAUAGGGGCGGCCGAUGGCAGAUUAGCUAGUUGGUGGGGUAAAGGCCUACCAAGGCGACGAUCUGUAGCUGGUCUGAGAGGACGACCAGCCACACUGGGACUGAGACACGGCCCAGACUCCUACGGGAGGCAGCAGUGGGGAAUUUUGGACAAUGGGCGCAAGCCUGAUCCAGCAAUGCCGCGUGUGUGAAGAAGGCCUUCGGGUUGUAAAGCACUUUUGUCCGGAAAGAAAACCUUUGGGCUAAUACCUUGAGGGGAUGACGGUACCGGAAGAAUAAGCACCGGCUAACUACGUGCCAGCAGCCGCGGUAAUACG